rnacentral:rRNA from 1 species
UACGAAGGGGGCUAGCGUUGCUCGGAAUCACUGGGCGUACAAGGGUGCGUAGGCGGGUCUUAAGUCAGGGGUGAAAUCCUGGAGCUCAACUCCAGAACUGCCUUUGAUACUGAGGAUCUUGAGUUCGGGAGAGGUGAGUGGAACUGCGAGUGUAGAGGUGAAAUUCGUAGAUAUUCGCAAGAACACCAGUGGCGAAGGCGGCUCACUGGCCCGAUACUGACGCUGAGGCACGAAAGCGUGGGGAGCAAACAGG